AAUUGAAUGAUGACAAAAUAAUUUGGUUUUCCUCAACAAAUUUAAAACAAUCAUGGGUAUGAGUGUAUUGGUUCUUUUAUGGAGCUCUCUUUGAAGUGAGAAUGUACUCUUCUUUGAGCUUUCAAGACUGUCAAAAUUGAGAUGAGACAAUGGUUCGAAGUCUGCGUCUGCAUAUAUAAAUUAUAAUUAAAUCAAUUUGACUUGGCCAAGUAUACCAAGGAACUUGUAUCAGCUUUGCUCAGGUGAGCCAGACACUCAAGUUUUGACCUUGGAUUAGGCGAAUGACUUUUGGAAAUUCCGAAGUAGAUUGGUGUAGUUCAUCGUACCAUACUCCUAUACUGGAUGGAAAUCACUUUUACUCUACAGCUGUUGCUUUCAGUAUAGCAGAUACAUGCAUUCUUCUUUUCAGUUGGGUAAUAGUAAGGCAGGUUGGUUUUCAAACAGAAAUUACCUUGCCAGUUUGUGUGUGCAUUCAUUGAGGAUUGUCAUCAAUUCAUUAUUGUGGUCGUGCCAAGCUUAUCCUUUACCACGGCUGUCUCUGCUUUGUGUUUGAAAGUUUUAUGAAGAUGGAUGAAACCCACCUUGGCUCCUGUGUUCCUCGGGUCCUUUGAUGAAUAGGUCAAUGUGAAAUAUUUGACUGCUUGUAUAACAUCAUUUGACAUUAUGUGAUCUGCAGUUUGAUUUUGUCAGAAAAUAAGUUUCAUGUAGUUCUGAGCACUGUGAAUGGGCUUGCUGCAGUGUUGCUCUCUCUCUGCUCCAUCCUGAUUCUGUUAGUGAAGAGGUGUUCUUCUGAUAUAAAUGGAAUCAUUCCUCGUCAUCUUGAUUUCAUAUUAAUUCAGGAGACUGACUGUGUGAUAGGAUAGUUAAAUGAUCUUCGAUUAUGUGCUGGUCAGAGGUUGUGGAUCACAUUUCAUAAAAGUCUCUUACCUUUGUGGUACCUGAUUGGAGAAAGUAGCACAUAACAAGCCUGGAUUUGUCUCUCCACUCUUAUGAUACUUCUGGAUUAAAUGCCAAAGUGGUUCAAGAAAACCACUGGUUCCCGACUUCAGACUGACAAUGAAGUUGAAAUUGAGAGAACACGAAUGGGCUGCAUAUACAUUCAUCAUGAAAUCAAUAUUUGCCUUUAUAAAGCAUGCGUAGGAAACAUGAAAUAAGUCUGCAAUUGCGUCGACCACAGCUUCUCUUGUGAGCUACACAUUUAAGUUUUGACCUUGAAAUGGACGAAAAAUCUUCUGCAUGGAAUCGCUGGAUGGAGAGAAGCAACAUUGCAAGACGGAGGAUACCACCACACUCAGCGAAAUAACACCUAAUUCAUGGCAAAAUCUGUUUAACUUACAACAUCCUUCAUACAUGGAAAAAUGUUCAAAAGGGUCCGUCAACAAGCAGCUGUAGGAAGCAAGAAGUGUUUCUCAUCACAAGU